CCUACGGGAGGCAGCAGUGAGGAAUAUUGGUCAAUGGUCGGGAGACUGAACCAGCCAAGCCGCGUGAGGGAGGAAGGUACAGAGUAUCGUAAACCUCUUUUGUCAGGGAACAAAGGCGGGGACGUGUCCCCGGAUGAGUGUUCCUGACGAAAUAGCAUCGGCUAACUCCGUGCCAGCAGCCGCGGUAAUACAGAGGAUGCGAGCGUUAUCCGGAUUUAUUGGGUUUAAAGGGUGCGGAGGCGGUCUGUUAAGUCAGCGGUAAAAGGCCGGGGCUCAACCCCGGCCCGCCGUUGAAACUGGGGGUCUUGAGUGGGAGAGAAGGAUGCGGAAUGCGCGGUGUAGCGGUGAAAGGCAUAGAUAUCGCGCAGAACUCCGAUUGCGAAGGCAGCAUGCCGGCGCCACACUGACGCUGAGGCACGAAAGCGUGGGUAUCGAACAGGAUUAGAUACCCGGGUAGUC
rnacentral:rRNA from 1 species